UCCAUCGUGAGGUGGAAUCUGAAGGAAGUCCGUGGGCAAAUCUCUGGUUCGACGAACAGAAAUCAUAUACAAGGCAUACUUUUGUGGGUAAGGCUGCAAGACAAGUCAAAGCCCAAUAGCUACUCGAAGACAAAAGGUGUAAAUAUGGCGGAUAGAUGGAGAGGAAGAUUGCGUU
rnacentral:ncRNA from 1 species